UCGAGAAUCUUCGGCAAUGGGCGAAAGCCUGACCGAGCGACGCCGCGUGCGGGAUGAAGGUCUUCGGAUUGUAAACCGCUGUCAGAGGGGAUGAAGUUAUGGUGGGUUCUCCCUCCAUAUUGACAGAGCCUCAGAGGAAGCACGGGCUAAGUAUGUGC
rnacentral:rRNA from 1 species